GUUGUAUGGUUAAGUGACUAAGCGUACACGGUGGAUGCCUUGGCAGUCAGAGGCGAUGAAGGACGUAUUAACUUGCGAUAAGCGUAGAUUAGGCAGUAAAAGCCACUUGAGUCUACGAUUUCCGAAUGGGGAAACCCACUUACAUAAGUAAGUAUCUUGCACUGAAUACAUAGGUGUAAGAAGCAAACCGGGGGAACUGAAACAUCUAAGUACCCCGAGGAAGAGAAAUCAACCGAGAUUCC
rnacentral:rRNA from 1 species